AUUGAACGCUGGCGGCAUGCUUUACACAUGCCAGUCGAACGGUAACAGGCCGCAAGGUGCUGACGAGUGGCGAACGGGUGAGUAAUGCAUCAGAACGUGCCCAGUCGUGGGGGAUAACUACUCGAAAGAGUAGCUAAUACCGCAUACGAUCUAUGGAUGAAAGCGGGGGACCGUAAGGCCUCGCGCGAUUGGAGCGGCCGAUGUCAGAUUAGGUAGUUGGUGGGGUAAAGGCUCACCAAGCCAACGAUCUGUAGCUGGUCUGAGAGGACGACCAGCCACACUGGGACUGAGACACGGCCCAGACUCCUACGGGAGGCAGCAGUGGGGAAUUUUGGACAAUGGGCGCAAGCCUGAUCCAGCAAUGCCGCGUGCAGGAAGAAGGCCUUCGGGUUGUAAACUGCUUUUGUACGGAACGAAACGGCUCUGGUUAAUACCCGGGGCUAAUGACGGUACCGUAAGAAUAAGCACCGGCUAACUACGUG
rnacentral:rRNA from 1 species